rnacentral:rRNA from 1 species
GUGCCAGCAGCCGCGGUAAUACAUAGGGUGCAAGCGUUAAUCGGAAUUACUGGGCGUAAAGCGUGCGUAGACGGUUAUGUAAGUCAGAUGUGAAAGCCCCGGGCUUAACCUGGGAAUGGCAUUUGAGACUGCAUAGCUAGGGUGCGGAAGAGGGAGGCGGAAUUUCCGGUGUAGCGGUGAAAUGCGUAGAUAUCGGAAGGAACACCAGUGGCGAAAGCGGCUUCCUGGUCCAGCACCGACGUUCAGGCACGAAAGCUAGGGGAGCAAACAGGAUUAGAUACCCUGGUAGUCC